GUAUAAGAGACAGCAGCAGCCGCGGGAAUACAGAGGGUGCGAGCGUUAAUCGGAUUUACUGGGCGUAAAGCGUGCGUAGGCGGCUUCUUAAGUCGGAUGUGAAAUCCCUGAGCUUAACUUAGGAAUUGCAUUCGAUACUGGGAAGCUAGAGUAUGGGAGAGGAUGGUAGAAUUCCAGGUGUAGCGGUGAAAUGCGUAGAGAUCUGGAGGAAUACCGAUGGCGAAGGCAGCCAUCUGGCCUAAUACUGACGCUGAGGUACGAAAGCAUGGGGAGCAAACAGGAUUAGAUACCCGUGUAGUCCCUGUCUCUUAUAC
rnacentral:rRNA from 1 species